rnacentral:ribozyme from 12 species
UGGGUCCAUAGAAGGGGUCCUUGACUUUCUCCCCAUACCUCCCUGGGAAGAUUCCGAGCAUAACCAAAUGCAGGCUGCACGAGAGCGAGAUUGGCCAGUCCCACGAGUAAUGGAGUUCGUUAUCAGAGAGGUGUGACACCCCAGGGCGGAC